rnacentral:rRNA from 1 species
UAGGGAGUCUUCCACAAUGGGCGAAAGCCUGAUGGAGCAACGCCGCGUGUGUGAUGAAGGGUUUCGGCUCGUAAAACACUGUUGUAAGAGAAGAAUGACAUUGAGAGUAACUGUUCAAUGUGUGACGGUAUCUUACCAGAAAGGAACGGCUAAAUACGUGCCAA